GCCUUUAACUGACUGCUCCAAGAGAAAAAAAAAACAAUAUUUUGAGGUAUGACAGUAGUCAACAGAAAUCGGUCGGCUUCAGGCGCAGACUUUCAGGCAACCAUUUCGUCGCAGUUAUUUGUCAACGCUUGGAAAAGAUAGAAAAUUUACUUGUGGCUGCUUUAUUGGCGCCAACAAUGAAGAGUCUUCGAGUUCUCACUCCCAGGAGGUGGGGAGCUAUUUUAGACCCAGUCCAUAUCGUUGAACUGGACAGAAUAAGAAUGCCUGUUGUUUCCAGUGUGGUCCAUCUAGUCUAUGCCAAAACAAAAAGGAAAUAAGCCAAAGCCAAUCAGUUAAUAUGGCCACAGUGGUGGUUUAUCUCACUACUGAAAUCAAAAAUUUCAAAAUUACAAGCCCAUGUUGAACAAAACAGGAGCUUUGAGAAAAAUUCGAUUCUAUCAUAAUGAACCUUUUUCUAUUUUGAUAUUCACUAUGUUUUUCAAAAAGGUUUAAUUUUAAUUCGCAGAACACAAGUUUUAACGCAUUUAUAAGAGUGUUCAGUGUUGGCGAUCUUUCGCUUUUGAAGUUUUGACUUUUGAUAUGCAACAAUUCGUCUGCUCUUGUUGCCAGAUUUCAAACGAAUAAUUCGCAUUUUGUAGAGAAUAAUUUUUUUCCCCUUGAAAAUUGACAUGCCAUGACAUAAUGAAAUGAUUCGUAAUUAUCUCUUAUCUUGUUGAAACAAAACUAUAUUUUUCAUUAGUACAGUU